GAUGAAGAACGUAGCGAAAUGCGAUAAGUAAUGUGAAUUGCAGAAUUCAGUGAAUCAUCGAAUCUUUGAACGCACAUUGCGCCCUUUGGUAUUCCAAAGGGCAUGCCUGUUCGAGCGUCAUUUGUACCCUCAAGCUUUGCUUGGUGUUGGGCGUCUUGUCUCUAGCUUUGCUGGAGACUCGCCUUAAAGUAAUUGGCAGCCGGCCUACUGGUUUCGGAGCGCAGCACAAGUCGCACUCUCUAUCAGCAAAGGUCUAGCAUCCAUUAAGACUUUUUUUCAACUUUUGACCUCGGAUCAGGUAGGGAUACCCGCUGAACUUAAGCAUAUCAAUAAGCGGAGGA
rnacentral:misc_RNA from 1 species